GUACCUAACACUACAGGGAGAUAACUCUGUAAUAUCAGCUAAACGUUUUAAUUACGUUGCAUUGUGAAGGCAAUAUAAAACUUCUCAAUGAUCAAAAUUAGUGUUUGUCAAACUGCUAUAUAACCAGUGUAAUUUUUCUGAUAAAACGCUUGGUUCAAAUUUUUUCAAUUUUUUCAAUUUUUGUUAAAGGGUCAAAGUAAAUACUUU
rnacentral:lncRNA from 1 species